AGAGAUGGCUCAGUGGUUAAGAGCACUUGCUGCCUUUCCAGAGGACCUGAGUUCAAUUCCCAGCAUCUUUA
rnacentral:tRNA from 1 species